AUCAUCUUCCAUUUCUUACGCACCUUAGAGCAUCUCCAACAAGCCCCUUCAUUUUUUAUUUGGUUUAUCCUUAAAAUAAAAGAUUAAAAGGGUGAUUCUCCAAUGAUGACCUUCAAAAAUUUUCUCUUAAAAAUUUAUAUUUUACACUUUAGUCCUCAAUUUCAGUAAUAGUUCAUUAUAGUCAUUAAAAGUUUAUAAAUUAACAAUAAACCCAUAUUAAUAUAUGGUAUUGACAUAAUUAGUAAACAUAUUUAAUUAUAACAUCAAAUUACUUAUAAUAAAAGAUAAAAAAACAUUAACACAUAAAAUUACAUAUAAUAAUAGAACAUAAACAAUUCGAAUUACAAUAUAUAUAAAAUACAAAACUAAUCAAUACGAUUAUUUCCAUAAUGCUCCCAAAUAUGCUCAAUCAAAGAAUUUUUAAGUGAUAAAUGAGCUUCCUUAUUUUUUAUUCGAACAUUACGUGCUAAAAAUUGUUGAAAACGCAUAUCUUCGUUUAUGGCCAUCUCAACGUUUAUUGGCGCCGCCGGUCUUGCAUCUCGAAUAGGUGCGUUCAUCUUCAAUUAUCAUGUUAUGCAUUAUAAUACAUGAAGUCAUUAUAUCAUGCAAUACCUCUUUCUUCCAAUAACGUGAGGAUCCUACGAUGGUAGUAAAUCUGGCUUGUAGAACUCCAAAAGCUCGUUCAACAUCUUUCUGACAUGAUUCUUGUCUUGCUGCAAACAAUUUUUUCUUUGGACCUUGGGGAUCGCUUAUUGUUUGAACAAUUGUUGACCAUUUAGAAUAAAUAUCAUCGGCCAAAUAAUAACCCAUGUUAUAUUCUUGACCUUGAAUUGUGUAAUUAGCUGGAGGAGCGGUACCUUGAGCAAGUCUGGAAAAUAAAUUGGAAGAUUUCAUAACAUUAAUAUCGUUGUUGCUUCCCGGCAUUCUGAAAAAGAUAUGCCAUAUCCAUAGAUCAUAAUCCGCAACCGCUUCGAGAAUGAUCGUAGGUGACCCGCUACAGUCUGCAUAUUGUCCUGCCCAUGCGGUUGGACAGUUUUUCCACUUCCAAUGCAUGCAAUCAAGACUGCCUAACAUUCCAGAAAAUCUGCGUUGUUGCCCAAUAUUGAGAAGCCUGGAAACGUCCUCUGGUGUUGGUGACCUGAGAUACCACUCUGAAAAGAUAGAUACAAUUGCACGAUAAAAUCUUUUCAUGCAUUCAAUUGCUAUAGACUGUUCUAUUUUAAUGUAUUCAUCGGUCGCAUCAGGAGGCCAAGAUAUGAAGAGCAGUUGUUACUUUUUGUAAAGUUGAUAAUCCAAGUCUACCAGAUGCAUCACAUCGUUGGUUGAAAUAGUUGUCAUGUUGCUUGACGGCAUCAACAAGGUGAAGAAUAACCUUCGUGACAUUCUAAAUCGACGAUGAAACUCUCUUUCACCAUACACAGGAUGAUCAGAAAAAUAAUCAUUGUACAAAUUACGAUGAGCAUUUUCUCUAUCACGAAAAAUAACUGCAUGACCGAUGAUAGAACCACAGUGACUUAGAUGAUUAUUUUCCUGAUUGAGUUAGUGAAUAAGACGAUUAUUGUUGAUAAACAAAUUGACUGCAAUUUGUUGUUCUCUCUCUAUUGUUUCAUUUUCAUCAAUAAUCCAUUGAUCAAACUCAAAUGAGUAAGAAGAAGAAGAUGAUGAAUUUUCGAUAUUAAAGUUCAUUUUUAUUAGAAGUUUUGUUGAUAUGUCCGUAGUAUAUAUAGGAAUACAUAUUACUAUGUCACAUCAACCAUUAAAUUGAAACUUUGUCAUUUUCUUAUCUAACCUUCAACCUCCAACCAUAAACAACCCCCAACCGUAUUCAAUUGAUUUACACCAUUCAAUAAGUCAUUUAAUAGAUUUUUUGUCUCAUCAACCAUUAAAUGAUAUUUUGUAAUUUUACUAUCCAACAUCUAACCAUAUUUAGUAAAUAAGAUAACCUCCAACCAUAUUUAUUUUGUGUAUAAAUAAUAGAUUUUACCAAAUGGAAAAAUCACGUUUUAUUAAAUCACACUUUCUCCAUCCCACUCAUUCGUUUCUUUCUCUUGUUUACAAAAAUGGAAAAAAAUAGAGGCACAUCAUUCAACUAACAAGAAGAUGAGUUGUUAUGUCAUGUCUACUUAGAAAUUUCACAGGAUCCCAUUGUAGCAACAAUCAAACUCUGAAGAAACUACGGGAAAAAAUAGAAAAAACUUAAAAUGAGAAAAAAACAGAGAGUUGGGAAAUUAGAAGUCAUAGGUCUUUAGAAAGUAGGAAGGGUAUCAUUUUGUAUGCUGUUAGAAACUUGAAGAGCUGUGUGAUUCAAGUGCAAAAUAUGCAUCCAAGUGGCGCAUCCGAUCAAGACAUUAUGGAAAACGCAAAAAAAAUUAUUUAUGCAAGACCCAAAACUAAAAAAAUGUUUUAAAUUUGAUCAUGUGUGGCUUUUAAUGAAAGAUAUUCCAAAGUUUUCAGAUAAUGUUAAUAUCGGUAUUCCGGAUAUUGAGAGUGAUACUGUCGGCUCUCCAGCAUCACAAUCUUCUGGAAUUUCUUCAUUCUCAAUCAAUUUAAGCAGUCACGAUGGUGGUUCAAAUUCGACACAACGUCCUAUUGGAUCGAAGAAAGCAAAACUUAAAAGAAAACUUUCUGAAGGUAAUACUUCAUCUACGGAUAAUGUGGUUGAAACAAAUUCUAGAUUUCUUGAAAGAAAUGGCAUCAUCUAGAGAAAAAACUUAUGAGAAGGUUCAAUUACACAUGCAAAAUCAAGCAAAAACCUUAGCUCUGAAAGAAAUGGAGGCUGAAAAUAAAAUCAUGUUGAAAAAUUUAAACUCCAUUGAUGAUAACACUCGCCAAUUUAUCCUAUCUGAACAAGCAAGAAUCAUACAAAAAAAGAACUCAACAACAACAAACCGAAGAGAAUGCUUGAAAUUUAUAUCGAGAAUACUUUGUGAUUUUGGAGGUUCAAGACCAAAUUUACCUUAAUAUUAGUAUUGUAAUAUAUAUUUCAAUGUGUAAUAUUUCAGCUUAUGGAUUUACCUGAAUAUUAGUAUUGUAAGAUAUAUUUUAAUGUGUAAUAUUUCAGUUUAUGUAUCUUUUAUUUUGAUGUAAAAUAUUAUGAUUGUAUUAUAAUUUUGUAUUUGUGUAAAAUUUUCGAAAUAUAUUAUGUGCAAUAAUAUGUUUAUAUUAUAUUUU